CGAACGAGAGGGGAAAUGAGCGCACUUCUUGAACUUCCAGCCAGCAGCUGUCACGGCCAGCAGCUCCUUCUGCACAGCAUCACAGCCCAGAUAAGCAAACUGAGAGCAACAGAAGUGAAACUACCAGCGCUGAGACACCCGAGGGGAGGAGGUUGGUGAUGUGUAUAGAGUCAUUGCUACACUGGGGAUUUUGUCUUCCAAACUGCAUAAGCAGCAGAGGCUGCUGACAUGGAAAGCACCUGGUACAACUGCACAGAGCAACAUUUCCAGCCAAGUGCCCUGCCUGCAUGUGCCUGAAACUCCUGGUGCAACCUGAAUGCUGUCCUCCCCUAGACACU